rnacentral:rRNA from 1 species
CGCUACCAUGCAAGUCGCACGAGAAAGUGGAGCAAUCCAUGAGUAAAGUGGCGUACGGGUGAGUAACACGUGGGUCAUGCACCUCUUAGUGGGGAAUAACCCUGGGAAACCGGGGCUAAUACCGCAUAAGUCCGAGAGGAGAAAGCAGCAAUGCGCUGAGAGAGCAGCCCGCGGCUGAUUAGCUAGUUGGUGGGGUAAAAGCUCACCAAGGCGAAGAUCAGUAGCCGGCCUGAGAGGGCACACGGCCACACUGGCACUGAAACACGGGCCAGACUCCUACGGGAGGCAGCAGUGGGGAAUCUUGCACAAUGGGGGAAACCCUGAUGCAGCGACGCCGCGUGAGCGAUGAAGCCCUUCGGGGUGUAAAGCUCUUUCGACGGGAACGAUAAUGACGGUACCCGGAGAAGAAGCUGCGGCUAACUACGUGCCAGCAGCCGCGGUAAUACGUAGGCAGCAAGCGUUGUUCGGAAUUACUGGGCGUAAAGCGUGCGUAGGCGGCGCUACAAGUUUGGUGUGAAAUCUCCCGGCUUAACUGGGAGGGUGCGCCGAAAACUGUGGUGCUAGAGUGUGGGAGAGGUAAGCGGAAUUCCUGGUGUAGCGGUGAAAUGCGUAGAUAUCAGGAGGAACACCGGCGGUGUAGACGGCUUACUGGACCAUGACUGACGCUGAGGCACGAAAGUGUGGGGAGCAAACAGGAUUAGAUACCCUGGUAGUCCACACCCUAAACGAUGCAUACUUGGUGUGAGCCAUUCAUUUGGUUCGUGCCGGAGCUAACGCGUUAAGUAUGCCGCCUGGGGAGUACGGUCGCAAGG